rnacentral:tRNA from 1 species
GCAGCUGUAGCUCAGUCGGUAGAGCGCGGGUUCGCACAACCCGAUGUCGCAGGUUCGAGUCCUGCCAGUCUGCA